GCUAAUGUAGCUUAAUGAAAGUAUAACACUGAAGAUGUUAGGAUGGGCCUUGAAAAGCCCCACGAGCA
rnacentral:tRNA from 1 species